UACGAAGGGGGCUAGCGUUGCUCGGAAUCACUGGGCGUAAAGCGCACGUAGGCGGCUUUGUAAGUUAGAGGUGAAAGCCCAGGGCUUAACCCUGGAAUUGCCUUUAAGACUGCAUCGCUAGAAUCGUGGAGAGGUGAGUGGAAUUCCGAGUGUAGAGGUGAAAUUCGUAGAUAUUCGGAAGAACACCAGUGGCGAAGGCGACUCACUGGACACGUAUUGACGCUGAGGUGCGAAAGCGUGGGUAGCAAACAGG
rnacentral:rRNA from 1 species